rnacentral:lncRNA from 1 species
GCCAGCAGAAAUUUUGAAAUUACAUGUGGGACUCGUUUCAAUUGGACAUCGCUGGUCUAGCCUAAAGAUGGUGUCCAAUAGGUACCAUUUCAGUUGAUGUGAUUAGCCAGGGUUGGUGCAGGGGAAUCACACCAGGUGUAAUGGGCUAUCAGACCACAAGGGGGAGCUCACACCCGAGUGCAAGGCCUCUCCCCGACCUGAGUCUCACCCAUGACUUCCUGCUGCUCUCGCCUACCCAGAAGGAGCCACUUAAAAAUCGUAGCUACUGCCGCGGACACCAUACUUUGAGGGGAGAGGCAGAGAGGGAAACACAGAAUCCAAAGCAGGCUCCAGGCUCUGAGCUGUCAGCCCAGAGCCCUACAUAGGGCUCGAAUCCACCAACCGUGAGAUCAUGACCUGAGAUGAAGUCUGAAGCCUGAUGGAGCCACCCAGGUGCCCCAACCACAGUGUUGUUGCGUAUGAUGGGACUGUCAAAGGCAACCUGGUGGCCAUCACCGAGGACGUGGCCCUGGAGUGUGCAGCGUGGAGGCUUCUGCAGCCACAGGAAGCAAUGGACUAGGCUGUGCAGGAAGCACCGAGAACGGACCCAAGUGAAAAUAGUAAGGAGCAGAGCCAGAACUACCACCCAAUACUGUUGAUAUAAAUGAAAGAUUCAUACAUCCCUCCAAGAAUGUGCAGGGUGGAAGAACACCUAUAAACAAAAGGAUUCACAUGAACAGGACAGAAUGGGAGCUCUGGCAGGGAAGGAAAAGACUGUGGGUGGGAGUGCAGAGCGGAGUUAACUAAGAAAUAGAUAAAACUUGAGGCGCCUGGGUGGCUCAGUCGGUUAAGUGUUCGACUCUUGAUUUCGGCUCUGGUCACGACCUCACGGAUCGCGGGUUUGAGACCCGCGUCGGGCUCUGCACUGACAGUGCGGAGCCGGCUCGGGAUUCUGUCUCCCUCUCUCUCUGCCCUUCCCCGCUUGCUCGCGUGCUCUUUCUCUGAAAACAAGUAAAUAAAAAAAUAAAAAAAUACA